ACCAAACUGAGAAGUACCAAAAGUCGCAUGAGUUUGCAGACCCAAAGUCACCUCUAAUUGCAAGAAUUAGGCAAACUAUUGACUACGAGUUGCUUCACUGUUCAUUUUUUGGGUUAUAUGUUGCGUUUGCUAAUUGAACAAUUUUUUGAAUAACAGUCCCAGGAUUGAUUAUAGGCAAAUAAUCGACUAGAAGUUGCUCCACCUUCCAUGUUUUGGAUUAUAAGCUGCGUUAGCUAAUCGAACUAUUUUUUGAAUAUCACUUGCAUGGAUGAUUGGGCAAAUAAUCAACUAGGAGUUUCCCCCACUAUGCACGUUUUGGAUUAUAAGUUGCCUUAGCUAAUUGAGCUCUUUUUGAAUAGCCGUUACAUGACUUGUUAGGCAAACUAUCGACUAGUAGUUUCCUCACUCAUUCUUCUUUCUGGAUUAUAAGUUGCCUUCGCUAAUCGACCUUUUUUAAUAGAAGUUGCAUGACUGAUUAGGCAAGUUAUUGACUAGGCGUUGCUUCACUGUUCUUUUUUUUGGAUUACAAGUUGCCUUUCGACGGUAGGAAAAGUAUUGACUAUGAGUUGCUUCACUGUCUAUUUUUUGGAUUACAAGUUGCCUUUCGACGGUAGGCAAAGUAUUGACUAUGAGUUGCUUCGCUGUCCAUUUUUUGGAUUAUAAGUUGCCUUAGCUAACUGAGCUCUUUUUGAAUAACCGUUACAUGACUGGUUAGGCAAACUAUAGAUUAGUAGUUGCUUCACUCAUUCUUUUUUCGGACUAUAAGUUGCCUUCGCUAAUCGAUUUAAUUUUUAUAGAAGGUGCAUGACUUAUUAGGCAUAUUAUUGACUAGUAGUUGCUUCACUGCUCUUUUUUAUGGAUUACAAGUUGCCUUUCGACGGACUGAACCGUUUUCUGGACAGGUAUUGCAUGGAAAAUUAGAGACCAGGAGCUUUCAUCUUUUUUUUCAUUACAUCGCCUUUUUUUUCUUUUGCAUGACUGGUUAGGCAAAUUAGCGACUAGGUGUUGCUAGCAAUGUGUGACAACUAUUUUGUAAAUUACAUCUUCUUAAUUACAGGUGUUUUCGCCAAGGAUUUUGUAUAGAUGAUGGGAGUCAUAGGAAGAAAAAUCAGAAGUUGGACUACACAGCAAGGAACAAUGUUCAUAUUAAUGCAUAGUAUGUGUGUUUUUAGCUGUUUUUUUUUUUGCUAAGGAACAAAGUAGUGGGGGCACAACAUGUGGCCACCUAGUCCACAAUAUGCAGUACUGUUUGUUCUUUGUAGCUUGUAGGAACAUGUUGAUGUUUUACUUGUAAAAGGAGGAGGGUGGAUGGAUAGUCCAGAAAUUUCUUUUUGGUUUUGUAGUGAACAUAUUGAAGCAUCAUAGUAUGCAUAGUUUAUUUGCCCAUCAAAGGGUUUGCAACACUUAAUUUUCUCAUAGUUUUCUUUUGCUGACACAAAUUUCUCUGUGAACAUAAAUACUAGGAGCAUGGCCAGUUGUUGCUUGGCCCAUAUGUCAUUUUAUGGGGUUUAGGAGUAUGGAUCCAUGCCACAUUUGUUUUCUAGACAUGAUGAUUUGUGUGUUUUCCUGCAGAAAUUGGGUGCCAAAACAAAGCAUAAGUAACUUGGAUUAGGUUUUGUUUAGAGAAGUGCCUUUUCGCUUUUUCAAUACCUUCUGCAAAUCCUUUUGGGGCACCUUCUUUUUUAACUGGAUCAAGAGUUGCUUCAAGUAGGAACAGGGAGGUAAGAAGGGGGAGAAGUAAGAAACGAGCCCCUAGACAAGAGGAUGUAAUCGGGGGAGGGAUAAAAGAAGGCAACUUUUGCCUGCCAGCCAUUUUACUUGCUUCGCGUGAGCCUGAUUUUGAAGGCUACCGUGGUCCACCCGCGGGGACAAGGAACGCUGGUGCGGGAUCAGAACUCCGGAGCUGAUGCGAUUGUGAGGAAAUAAAACUUUCCGUUUUUAGAAAGGAGGGAAUCUGACUUACUAUUUUUGGGUGUGCACCCUAAGGAUCCUAACAGUGCAUGAGCACUCCCUAGCCACUUCAUCCGUCCCCCCAAUAUGGCGUCCGGCCUGCCACAUUAUUUGGCCAUAUGGGGGGGGGG
rnacentral:lncRNA from 1 species